UGGGGAAUAUUGCACAAUGGAGGGAACUCUGAUGCAGCGACGCCGCGUGAACGAAGAAGGCUUUCGAGUCGUAAAGUUCUUUUAUAUGGGAAGAUAAUGACGGUACCAUAAGAAAAAGCCCCGGCUAACUACGUUCCAGCAGCCGCGGUAAUACGUAGGGGGCUAGCGUUGUCCGGAAUCACUGGGCGUAAAGGGUUCGCAGGCGGAAAUGCAAGUCAGGUGUAAAAGGCAGUAGCUUAACUACUGUAAGCAUUUGAAACUGCAUAUCUUGAGAAGAGUAGAAGUAAGUGGAAUUUUUAGUGUAGCGGUGAAAUCCGUAGAUAUUAAAAAGAAUACCGGUGGCGAAGGCGACUUACUGGGCUCAUUCUGACGCUGAGGAACGAAAGCGUGGGUAGCAAACAGG
rnacentral:rRNA from 1 species